rnacentral:rRNA from 1 species
UGCGAGUCAUUGUAGCAAUACAAGGCAGACGGCUCAGUAACGCGUAGUCAACCUAACCUAUGGAUGGGAAUAACCUCGGGAAACUGAGAAUAAUGCCCAAUAGAACACUAUACCUGGAAUGGUUUGUGUUCCAAAUGAUUUAUCGCCGUAGGAUGGGACUGCGGCCUAUCAGUUUGUUGGUGAGGUAAUGGCCCACCAAGACUAUUACAGGUACGGGCUUCUGAGAGGAGUAGCCCGGAGAUGGGUACUGAGACACGGACCCAGGCCCUAUGGGGCGCAGCAGGCGAGAAAACUUUGCAAUGUGCGAAAGCACGACAAGGUUAAUCCGAGUGGUUUCUGCUAAAGGAACCUUUUGUCGAUCCUAGAAACACCGAUGAAUAAGGGGUGGGCAAGCUCUGGUGUCAGCCGCCGCGGUAAAACCAGCACCUCAAGUGGUCAGGAUGAUUAUUGGGCCUAAAGCAUCCGUAGCCGGCUCUGUUAGUUUUCGGUUAAAUCUGUACGCUCAACGUACAGGCUGCCGGGAAUACUGCAGAGCUAGGGAGUGGGAGAGGUAGACGGUACUCGGUAGGAAGGGGUAAAAUCCUUUGAUCUAUUGAUGACCACCUGUGGCGAAGGCGGUCUACCAGAACACGUCCGACGGUGAGGGAUGAAAGCUGGGGGGAGCAAACCGGAUUAGAUACCCGGGUAGUCCCAGCUGUAAACUAUGCAAACUCAGUGAUGCAUUGGCUUGUGGCCAAUGCAGUGCUGCAGGGAAGCCGUUAAGUUUGCCGCCUGGGAAGUACGUACGCAAGUAUGAAACUCA